GAUGAACGCUGGCGGCGUGCCUAAUACAUGCAAGUCGAGCGAACAGACGAGGAGCUUGCUCCUCUGACGUUAGCGGCGGACGGGUGAGUAACACGUGGAUAACCUACCUAUAAGACUGGGAUAACUUCGGGAAACCGGAGCUAAUACCGGAUAAUAUAUUGAACCGCAUGGUUCAAUAGUGAAAGACGGUUUUGCUGUCACUUAUAGAUGGAUCCGCGCCGCAUUAGCUAGUUGGUAAGGUAACGGCUUACCAAGGCAACGAUGCGUAGCCGACCUGAGAGGGUGAUCGGCCACACUGGAACUGAGCCACGGUCCAGACUCCUACGGGAGGCAGCAGUAGGGAAUCUUCCGCAAUGGGCGAAAGCUUGACGGAGCAACGCCGCGUGAGUGAUGAAGGUCUUCGGAUCGUAAAACUCUGUUAUUAGGGAAGAACAAAUGUGUAAGUAACUAUACACGUCUUGACGGUACCUAAUCAGAAAGCCACGGCUAACUACGUG
rnacentral:rRNA from 1 species